UCCACUCGGGGAUCUUUCUGCCCCAUCGA
rnacentral:sRNA from 1 species